rnacentral:rRNA from 1 species
AUUGAACGCUGGCGGCAGGCCUAACACAUGCAAGUCGAGCGGAUGAAGGGAGCUUGCUCCUGGAUUCAGCAGCGGACGGGUGAGUAAUGCCUAGGAAUCUGCCUGGUAGUGGGGGAUAACGUCCGGAAACGGGCGCUAAUACCGCAUACGUCCUGAGGGAGAAAGUGGGGGAUCUUCGGACCUCACGCUAUCAGAUGAGCCUAGGUCGGAUUAGCUAGUUGGUGGGGUAAAGGCCUACCAAGGCGACGAUCCGUAACUGGUCUGAGAGGAUGAUCAGUCACACUGGAACUGAGACACGGUCCAGACUACUACGGGAGGCAGCAGUGGGGAAUAUUGGACAAUGGGCGAAAGCCUGAUCCAGCCAUGCCGCGUGUGUGAAGAAGGUCUUCGGAUUGUAAAGCACUUUAAGUUGGGAGGAAGGGCAGUAAGUUAAUACCUUGCUGUUUUGACGUUACCAACAGAAUAAGCACCGGCUAACUUCGUG